AUAAAUGAUUAUAAAAUUUUAAUUGUUAUUAUAACAAGUUUUUUAAAUUAGUAAUAUUAAUGAAUUUUAGGUGAAAAUAGUACCGUGAGGGAAAAAAUAAUUUAUAAGAGUAUAGUUAAAAUCUAGUACCUUUUGCAUUAUGGUUUAACGAGAUAUAGUAUUGUAUUAUAUUUUCUAGAAAAAAAAAGAGUUACAUUUAAACCUUAACUAGUGUGGCAUAACUAGUUUUAGAUUUAAUUGUGGUAGUGAAAUGCUGACGAUUUUUUUGAUAGCUAGUUAAGGAAGAAAGGUAUUUAAGUGCCGUUUAUAAUAUAAAAUAUAAUUUGAAUUUUAUUUUAUUUUUAUUAUAAACUUUUUUUUGUUAGGUUAAUCUAAUGAAAGUAGAAUAAAUAAUAUUUGAUUCAAGUUAAUGUAGGCUUAAAAGUUGCUAUUAUUAUUAUGGUUUUAUAACAAAUAUAGAUUGGGAUUAUACAUAUUAUUUUCUUAUUUAUUUCUUUUUUACUUUGAAUUAUUAUUUAUAGUAAUUAUUUAUGUUAAAAUUAGUAUUUUUAUUGUUUUAAGUUUAGGUUUUUUAAAUUUUAAACUUACCAAGUUUUAUAAAUAUAAAUAUAAAAAAGGAACUCGGCAAAUUUAAAUUUCGCCUGUUUAUCAAAAACAUCGCUCUUUGUAUUUUUUAAAUAAAGAGUCGUACCUGCCCAGUGAAUUUAAAAUUUAAACGGCCGCAGUACCCUGACUGUGCUAAGGUAGCAUAAUCAUUUGCCUUUUAAUUGGAGGCUUGUAUGAAUGGUUUGACGUAAAUUUAGCUGUCUCUUUUAUAUUAUUUAAAAAUUAAUUUUUAAGUGCAGAAGCUUAAAUAAAUUCAAAAGACGAAAAGACCCUGUCGAACUUGAGAUUAGAUUAAAAUUAUUUUAUUUUAGAAAAAUAGUUUUUUAUACAUUAAAUUUUGUUGGGGUGACAGAAGAAUUGAUUUAGCUUCUUUUUAUUAUAAUAAUUUAUAUAUUAUAGGAGCCAUUAUUUAGUGAUUAUAAGAUUAGUUACCGCAGGGAUAACAGCGUAAUUUUUUUGGAAAGUUCAAAUUGAAAAAAAAGUUUGCGACCUCGAUGUUGGAUUAGAAAACCUACUAGGUGAAGAUACUUAAUUAGGAGGUCUGUUCGCCCUUUAAACUUCUACAUGAUCUGAGUUCAAACCGGUGUAAGCCAGGUUGGUUUCUAUCUUUGAAAUUUAAAUUUUUUGAAUUUAGUACGAAAGGACCAGUUUAAAUAAAUUUUUUAAAUUU
rnacentral:rRNA from 1 species